GCCAGCUGGUUGUAACCAUAGCAUUCACACAGCAGACGUGACGGUCGACUCAUGCGGCGUCUGCAACGGCGAUAACUUCACCUGUCAGUCAGUGACCGGCUACUUCAACCGCUCAAAAUAUGACCAGCUUAUUUAUGGUUACAAUGAAAUUGCAAGAAUACCGGCUGGUGCCACUCUCCUUGACAUCCGGCAAGGCCACAACAACUUCCAACAAGAUGACAACUACCUCGCUCUGAAGACAACCAAAGACAAGUACAUAC